rnacentral:rRNA from 1 species
UACGGGGGGGGCAAGCGUUGUUCGGAAUUACUGGGCGUAAAGGGUUUGUAGGUGGCCAACUAAGUCAGACGUGAAAUCCCUCAGCUUAACUGGGGAACUGCGUCUGAGACUGGAUGGCUUGAGUGCAGGAGAGGAACGCGGAAUUCCAGGUGUAGCGGUGAAAUGCGUAGAUAUCUGGAGGAACACCGGUGGCGAAGGCGGCAUCCUGGACCGGUAUUGACGCUGAGGAGCGAAAGCCAGGGGAGCAAACGGG